rnacentral:lncRNA from 1 species
CCUCAAAUGUCAUUAGUCAUUAAUAGUGGACCAAUUUCACACCAAGGUCUGCAAUAUCGAUCAAGACUAUACAUGCUCGCAUCUAGUUUGCUAUUUCAAACGGGAAUGUGUACGUACGUGUGUGUACAGGUACAUUCAGCACUCAAGGCAAUGCGUAGGACUACAAUGCAUUGCAUUGCACUAUACGAUGUGUAUGUAAUGUAUUUGAAUUCAGAGUGAAAAAGCCGUUGCAAGAAGUAUCGUCCUCCUGAAUACUCUCGUUUUCUCCUGCAAAUUUACAGUAUGGGCAUCUUUUUUUAACUUCUUUCGUCAAAGAAGUGGAUUCAAAGCACAUUGUGAGCAGUAUAUUGAUGUGAAACCAUGCAGAAAUGCUACUUUCUCUCAACCUUGUGGAUGUUCCCUACUUCCCUAAGGAUCAGCAGCCUCUUGAAACAGAAUUCCUUGCGUCUAUGUUCCUUGGAUCUGAAAACAGUGCAUAAUGCAGGAGAUUCCACCCAAAAGCUAACCCACAAGUCCAAGCUGAAGUGGAAUAUUUCGCAAAAUUUGAUCUACACUCACCCGAUAGCUUUACUGCUAGAGAAAGGUUAUUUUUUCACUUCAUUAUACUUUAUAGAGAGAGAUUGGGGGAGAGGGAGGGGUGAGGUGUAGCCACAAACCUGAAUGGAUAAGCUGUAGAACUGAAAUUUCCAGUCAUGUUACUUGCAAUUUUAAUGAAUUACAGGAUUUACGAACUGACAUAAUAACGAUUUGGGUAAAAGUCUAAAAGAUUCCAGUAUUUUGAGGAUAUUUGUAAUUACUAUUCAUGAAGUUGACCUGUUUCAUAAUGUCUUAUGCUCACCCCCCUCCCCCCACCCCAUCCACUUCAUAUCAGUUCUUAAAACAUGUUGCAAAUUAUAUAUACAUUGUUGGUAGUAGAGAAAAAUUGAGUGAGGUAAAUGCAAUACAAAUCGAAUCCAUUAUUAAGCAAUUAAGACUUGUUCAGGUACGGCACGUGAACCUCCAACAAAUUUCAAAAAUGAUGCAGUUUGGUUUUAUGUGUAAAGUGAAUG